rnacentral:lncRNA from 1 species
CAAGAGUUCUUAUUUCUUUUUGCAUGGCUCAUGCGAAGGUACGCUUCAAGACCUAACUCAAAUGUCACUGUCUCUGGGAAACGUUUUCUGAUCUCCCCAACCCUGCUUGUCUUCCAUUGCCUCCCUACCUCCAGCUGUGAGCACUGGAGAAUAGGGAUGCAUCUUCCCUAUCUUUCUGUUCCCAGACUAGCACAAUGACAACCUGAGUAGAUGCUCAGUAGACACACAAAUAAAUAAACAUUUCUUCACUAUAAUUCAUACACUAAUCCCAAGAAGAAACUCCUGGCUUAAAAAAUAAAAAUACAGUUGAGCCAUGAACAAUGCGGAGUUAGGGGCACCAACUCCCAGCACAGUAGAAAAUCCAAGUAUAACUUUUGACUCCUCAUACACUGAACUACCAAUAACCUACUGUUGACCAGAAUCCUCACCAAUAACAUAAACAUAUUUUUUAUGUUAUAUGUAUUAUAUACUUCAUUCUUACAAUAAAAGAAGCUACAGAAAAGAAAAUGUUAUUAAGAAAGCCACAGGAUGACAAAAUACAUUUACAGUACUGUGCUGUAUCAAUACCAUCAGUUUACACGUCUGUUUACAAGACGAAUCCUCUGUCUGAAAUGUCAGGAGACUGCAGCUGCAGACUGCAAUCUAUGACACAUAUCAAGCAAUUCAACUGUUUCUUGUAAUGUCAUGACUUUUCUCUGCUCCUUGGGACCCUUUCCAGCUUCAGUAGAGGCAUGGUGUUAUUCAAGGUUUACGGUAUUGCACUAAAGAGGAUGAAAAGUAUGCAAGAACCACAAGAGAUCACUUUCCAUUGAGAUCUGCAAUUUACCGGAGAAACAAUUGCUCAUGUGGAGAUGAUUAGCGUCACAGGGCGUUUUAAGCGGAUACUCACAACACUUGAGCUCACCGCAACAGCAGCAGGAGGUGGCUAUGAAAUCAUUACAGUAGCACAGCAUGUACUACAGAUGCGAACUUCAGCCUCUCCAGUCUUGGGACUCCAGGACUUGCACUAUUGGCCCCUUGGUUCUCAGGCCUUCGGUCUCCAACUGAGAGUUACACCAUCAGUUUCCGCGGUUCUGAGGCUUUUGAACUUGGACUGGGGCACCCUACCGGCCCCACUGGGUCACCAGCGUGCAGACAGCCUGUGGUGGAACUUCUCAGCCUCCAUAAUUGUGUCCUGCCUGGGCACAUGAACUCUUCUAGUCAAAGUAUAAGCCACGUCAAUAAGCUGAUGUAAUUUGCAAAUACAGGAGGCAAGCAAGUUUAUAAAACAAUUGGUUUGUAGUGUUUGUGUUUCUGUAUGUCUCUGUGUGUGUGAGAAAGACUGACUUGUGAAAUUACCCUAAAAGUGUUCCCCUUUACAUCAGUUGAAGUGUUGGAUACUGUCAGGCCAUUCUAGUUCUUUUAAAAUAAACCAUUUUGCUGGAGAAAU